rnacentral:rRNA from 1 species
GUGGGGAAUUUUGGACAAUGGGCGAAAGCCUGAUCCAGCCAUGCCGCGUGCAGGAUGAAGGCCUUCGGGUUGUAAACUGCUUUUGUACGGAACGAAAAGACUCCUUCUAAUAAAGGGGGUCCAUGACGGUACCGUAAGAAUAAGCACCGGCUAACUACGUGCCAGCAGCCGCGGUAAUACGUAGGGUGCGAGCGUUAAUCGGAAUUACUGGGCGUAAAGCGUGCGCAGGCGGCUUUGCAAGACAGAUGUGAAAUCCCCGGGCUCAACCUGGGAACUGCAUUUGUGACUGCAAGGCUAGAGUACGGCAGAGGGGGAUGGAAUUCCGCGUGUAGCAGUGAAAUGCGUAGAUAUGCGGAGGAACACCAAUGGCGAAGGCAAUCCCCUGGGCCUGUACUGACGCUCAUGCACGAAAGCGUGGGGAGCAAACAGGAUUAGAUACCCCAGUAGUCC